rnacentral:misc_RNA from 1 species
UUUCCGUAGGUGAACCUGCGGAAGGACCAUUCAUAAUAAAGUGUUUUAUGGCACUUUUUAAAAAUCCAUAUCCACAUUGUGUGCAAUGUUAGAUCUCGUCAAUCUUGGCGUAAUUUUUAUACAUCAAUUCAUUCUUUAACUAAUUUUUCUGAAAAAUAUUAUGAAUACUUAAUACAAAAUACAACUUUCAACAACGGAUCUCUUGGCUCUC